CACUGGGGUCUGGAAGAAACGGGGGGCUUAGCAAAUCCAGAGAUACUACGGGGAGCUGUGUGCUGGCUCCCAGCCCCCUCCCUCUUAACCUGCAAGAUCCCACUGCAAGCUUCAGAUGCAGUCGGUGCCUCAAACACCGUGAUGACACGCGCAGGCUCUGAGCCUAGCACCUAAGCUUGCACUGUAGCCAUAAGUGAUAGCACAAAAAGGGAGCAUCAAGCCUGUGGUUCCCACCUAGGCGACCCCUUCCAAGUCCACGUGGGAGCUCGUUUAGUUCCAUUAAGAAAAAAAGGUCAUUGAAACAAAGAAAUGUGAAUAAAACCAAGCGAAGAACCCCUAUUGCAAUACUAAAAGAGUAACCUUGAACAAGCCGUGGGCAGGAAACCGCCCUCUGACAGUCUGGGGCCCUCUCCUGAGUCUGCCCAGCUGGUGGGAAUCUGCAUUAUGUUGUGGGGGUAACGAGGUAGGCACUGAAAUGGUUAUUCUUGUGCUUCUCGGGCAUGAUAAUAAAAGUUUGGGCUGUCCAUUUGUCUCUUGCCUCUUUUCUGUGUUGUGAGCAUUAAGGAAACCAUAACUGUACCUUACUUUUGUGUUUCAAGGGUUGACAGAGUAGGACAAUGCCAUGUUGUAUGUCCCAGCCUGCACGGAGGAGCCCCAGUUGACAGCUGCGGUGGGAUGAGGAAGAGGAUGCAGAAGAAAGGUCAGUAGGUCCCACACCUACAUCCCUCCUAGUGGGAGAGCACAUCUGGAGCAGUGAAUGGAAAGACCCACCCCACAGGGAGAGAGAAAGGGGCUGGGAGGCACCUCCUCACCUGGCUUCUUAUAGCUGACAUAGGCCACGCUGACCAGGAU